CAGAUGCGCACUGAGCACCCACCAUGCUCAGGGCCUGCUUCUCACGGGGUUUAUUAUUAAAGAACCCUAAGAAGCUCCUGACAUCCACAAGAACAUUCUCCAUGAAGUCCCUCGACCACACGUUGUGGCAAAGAGAGCAUUCCCUGGACUGGCGAGGCGGCGUGCUGUCUGGGGCUGUCUGAGACUGUCUGGGACAAUGGCUCUGGCAGCGGCCUCUGUGGCCGGCAGGUUGUGCCACAAGACAGGUUGGUCUUGUGAGACGCUGCUCGUCUGGGACCUGAGUGGCCUCUGGACAGUCCCCAGGAGCACCUGGAGAGUCAGACCGGGCCUCACCUCUUGCCUCCCCUUUUGAAGUCUGGGGACAGAGUGGAGCCCCGCUGUUCCGCAUGGGAAGCGUGAGUGUUGAAAGAUCAGAACCUUUAUGUCAGUUUUACACAAAUAAUUUUUCCAUCAGGUAAAAUGACAAACGACACCACUGCAAGUGUGGCAGUGACAGAAUUUAAAAUGCCUACUCUGAAAGGCAGGAGCCUGCAGUUGCAGAAUCACCGUGAUUCUCCCAGGCAGGGUCAAGAAUUCUAGCUCUUAGAAGUUUGCCGCCUGCAAAUUCCUAAAUCCCCUGCAAGGUAAGAGAGGGACUGGCGGAGCCUGAAGAACGAAGUUACAUGUUAAUACCUCCAUAGGCCUCGUGACCAACAAAAAAGGACUGAAAGUGAAAAAGCGAAUCCUGUGUUUGAAGACCUUUGUAUAUUCAAGUUGUCUUUUCCUUCGUUUCAUUUUCUUUCAUUUUAACUUUCACAAAAGUCGCUAUUUAUUACUCAUGCACAUAAAUAUCUCUACUCCUGACUCAAGCUGGCAACCUAUGGAGAUUUAGGGUAUUCACGACCCCCAGCAAACAGCAGCGCUCAGCGGAGCAGCUGUCUCUGAAUGGAGCUGAUGUCUGGGAGUGCUGCACUCCGAUGAGCCAAUGGAAGUCUCUAUCAUCUUGAAUCUUCACUGUGUUAACUGUGAAGUGCCUGAAUCUGGGGGGACUGGGCCCUCACAGCCGCCAGGUGAGGGGGACCCUCUUCCCUCUCCUCUGGGUGAAGAGGUCCCAGCUCACACAAGUCACCCCUGGUAAGAGGCAGAGUCCACAGCAGGACCUGGGUAGAAGCCAAAGGCAACACUCCCUACCCCACACAUGGGUUCCUCUCAAGUAAAUCACCAGCGGGGCGAGGUGCACACAGCGUCUAGGAAGACAGGACAAACUGUUGUCACCUCCUUCAGCCAGGAGGCCCCACACGGAGCGCCACUGCCUCCACUAUCUGAUGCCACAGGGCAGACGUCAUGUGCUGGUUAAGGGAGGAGAAACUGCGGAUCAUUUUCCAUCUUAUUGGAAAUCACUCUCUGACACUUUUUCCUCAUCCUCACUAAGUACCCACCGAGUAUACCAGCAACAGUGUAAAAUAAACACAGCUUAAAGAAGUAGGAACCCUUUAUUCCUGGGACUUAAAAGCUUGACUAUCCACGGCAUUGAGUUGACAGAGAAGAGCUUGAAUCAUCAACAUGGCGUGAGUGACCACAUCCCUCACUCUGAGCCCCACUCCACAGCAGAUGACUCUGAAUCGCCCCGGCUAACGGCGUGCCCAGCAUCCUGAUGCUCUGAUUAGUCCUGAAUCACCCGAGGGCGGGCGGUGCGGUGGCUGGGCUGUCUCAGAGGGCAUCGCGGGCUGGGUGGACGAGGCUGGCCCAGAAGAGGGCAACAAGCAUUUGACAGGGAGUGGCAGGCUACCAUCUUGCCUCUUCUGCAGUUUGCGACACUUAGGGUCAUGAGUGUUUUUCCUCACACUAAGGAAGGAGACCACUACUCCUCCUGAUGCCCUCCUUCCCCCCACCUUGCCUAGUUCACAAAACAGGAAGAGAGAAAAAGCAAAAAGUUGGAAAAAAACAAAAGUAAGAUAAAUAGCCAGAUAACCUUGGCACCACCACCCGGCCCUAGGAGUUAAAAAAAGUGAUAAUAAUAACAUCAACCCCUGACCUAAACUACUUGUGUAAAUUCCAGACACUGUAUGAAAAAAGCAUUGUAAAACUUUCUGUUCUGUUAGCUGAUGCCUGUAGCCCCCAGUCACGUUUCCCACGCUUGCUUGAUGUACUACGACCCUUUCACGUGGACCCCUUAAAGUUGUAUGCCUUUAAAAAGGCCAAGAAUUUCUUUUUCAGGGAGCUCAGCUCUUAAGACUCAAGUCUGCCAAUGCUCCUGGCUGAAUAAAAACCUCUUCCUUCUUUAAUCCGGUGUUUGAGGAGUUUUGUCUGCGGCUUGUCCUGCUACAAUACAGUGGCCCGAAAGGCAAGGAAACUCCCGCAAGCGUUCAGAAAGGCUGCGGGUUUUUCAGGUAACAUUUCUGCAGCCACUGAUGUCUGACCCAAAGAGCUCUGAAUGCUUGCCAGAGAGAUGUGUAGUUCUAAUCCCAAAGCCCUGAAUGUUCUGAUUUCCUCAUUAAGACUGACUUAACAUGAGCUAUUUAGUCAGCUGAGUUAUCAACUGAAGAAAGUAACCGGUGUUUCCCACUUAUUUUCUUCUGUGGUUGUUUGAAAACAGCCGUGGUGUGGACAGAGUUCAUGCAGCCUUGAUGGUGGUGUGUCCCCAGCUCCACGCACGCACUAAACCUUUAAUUCAUUUCAGCAUAAAUAAGUUAAUGAAUAUGCAUACAUGAAUAAAUUAACUGGCAUAGUUUUAGUCCUAUUGAAGUUUUAAACUCACCAAUUUAUCCAACUUCUCUGCACUGAGUUUUUAUUCAAGUGAACUAUUCCAGUCUUGUGACUUCUGAUAUAAUAAUAGUAACGACUAAUAUUUAUUAGAACUUUAGUUUACCAAGCACUCCACAUUUUAUUUUUACAUUUUGUCUUCACAAACCCCCAUGAGACAGGCAUUCUCACCACUCGCAGUGUUGAUUGGCAUGCAGAGGCUCAGGGGUUUAAAUGGUUUCACUGAAGCAAUGUGAUCCGGUAGGAUGUUGCUUUCCUAUUCCUCCUAAUACCACCGUGUUCAGACAUGGGCAGCCGAGUGAGAAUAGAUCAUUUCAUGUGUGUGUAUAGACGUAACCUACACUCACAGGCGGAAAGCUGUGCAGGCUGAGAAGUGAAGCCCUCGGCUGAAUGACCAACAACAGCGUUCUAGGACCCCUUGUCCUUGCUCCGCAGGCUACACCCCUCACAUCUCCUCUGAACCAGAAAGAAAACUCUGCGGUUGCUUCUCCCUUUGACAGUCAGCCACAGUUCUCUUCAAUGUUCUCCUGGGGACUUGGGUCAAUGUUCUCCCGUCAAAUCUUAGCCAGGCCCAAGAUUACUGUGCCCCCCACCCCCCGCAGAUCUGUCAGGACACACUACUGCCCCAGAUGUAUUUGGUCGCCCCAUCUGUGUCCUAUCUGCCGUCCGUGCCUCUGGCCAGGCUUCUUGUGAGGUCCUGACUCACGCUGUCACUCUCAGGUUGUUUGCCUGUGGCUGGACACAUUGUUCAUAGGAGCCCAGCUGGCAAAGCAAAAAUACCUGAGACUGUGAUGGCAAGCUGCUUGUUCCCUGCAUCCUUGGCUGGCGAGAAGCUGAAGAGAAGUGAAAGCUCUACCUGUGAAGAGGCAGCAUUGCAGAAGGGAGGAGGUGGAGAUUCUGUCCUCAGUGCCUAGGGCCCUGCCUGGAUCUGGUUUUGCAGAGGGGAGGACGUAGAGAUUCUGUCCUCAGUGCCCAGGGCCCUGCCUGGAUCUGGUUUUGCAGAGGGGAGGACGUAGAGAUUCUGUCCUCAGCGCCCAGGGCCCUGCCUGGAUCUGGUUUUGCAGCUCCAGGGGAAACGUUUUGCACAAAUUCUCACUGGGAGCAUUAUCAGGGCUGCAGCACUUCAGUCUCUCCUGAUCUGAAUCCUUUUAACAUUAGCUGUGAUGCUGAGAAGGAUGAAAUUGAUGACACCAACAUCUGGUGGAAGACAAAAACCAGAGGGAUUUCCACCCAGGCAGAGCCCCUCCGCAGGCCUCCCCUCUUUGUGGCCUGAGGUCGGAGAGGCCUCUGGAGCAAGCCAGCGGAUGGAAUUCUCAGUUUUCUUCCAUUUGAUUAUUUUCCUAUUUUGACGUCUUUGAAAAAUGGCUCAGCCUUAUGGUGCAUGCGUUUUCUGAUUGCUUUUGUCUUUGUUUUAUUCUGAAUCAAGGACCGUGGCCACUGUGGGCUCCUCAUCCAGGACGUGGGGGCCCUCCGGGGCCUCAGUCCAUCCAUGCUGCAGUACAUGGUGAUUCUCAUGCAGAGGAUGAUCUCAGGGAUCAGCUUGAGCUGGCAGAGAAUUAAAUUAUAUGGUUUAUAAGAGUCCUGCCUCAGGGUCAGUGACACCAGGCCUGUCUCUGCUGCUAGCAAGGCCGACUUUCUUAUGUGCUGUCAUCGUGGUAAAAGCCUUGCCCACGUGAUGAAGACCCUGGACGGCUCUACUUGAGACAGAUUUCAGCUACGUUGCCUGGGAGUCUCUGGUACUUCUUCAAGGUUCUACUGAAGACAAUGACGUCAUCCAAGUACCUUGCAGUGCCUAAGUAGCUCUUGCCGCGGGAGCUCUGAGACCCCCUGUUAUCUAUUUUCGAAUUGGCCAAGGACCCCCGGCCAGGCAGGGGAUGCUCUGCCCAUCCUCGUCAGCCCUCGUGUCUUGUGAUCCUCCCCCAGCCUCCUGGCAAGCAUCCCUGUGCUUUCCGCGGGUGAGCGUGGCUGAGCUCAGUCUCGCUUACUACAACGGCAGGCACGAGGUCUGCGGAACUAAGAAGGCUCCUCUUUGCUCACUGGCCUUUCCUUUAAGUCCCUGGUCACUAACCUCUGGCAAGACAAUCCUUCUUGUGUUUUCUGGCGAUGGACUUGAGUGAUUACAAUGUAAGCGGUGGCUCCUCCUGGGGGCACGUCCAUUUUCUACCAUGAGGAGGGCGUUGCCCCUGCCAGGCUGCUGCUGUCCUCUCGUAUGCCCACCGGGCCGUCCCCCAAGAUGGCUUGGUACCCACACUGCCUGGGAAUUGCCACUCCUGCUUGUCCCGGACCCACCUCCCCUGCAGCCAUCCCGCACUCUUGAGGGGCCGGGCCCUGGCUGAGCGCUGUUCCUAGGCCCUGGAUGGCGGUGUGGAUCUCCGUCCUUGUCAGGGUAAUUUCCUCUUCUGUUUCCAGCAUUUCGAGUAAAUUCCUUUCUAAUCAUUAGGUGCCCUAGAGAGGACAGAUGCAUGGCUGUGGAGUCUUGUUCUGUGAUAUGUCAGUUUACUUGACGCACGUUCAAAACUGCAAAAUGCUGGUUCCUACCCGUCUCUGAUGUCACCAAAGGCUGCCCAGAGGCCUGCAGCACAUUGACGAUGGUCUUAGUAUUACACAGCUGUCUGACCAGUACCACAAAUCCAGAGUCCAAGCAGCUCAGGUUUGCCUUCUCCCUGUCUGUGUGGGUCCAGCGCCCUGGGCUCAGCAGGGCCUCCUGCUCCUGCUCCUGUAGGGUGGGCUGGGCCUUCCCACACGGGCCUGGGGAGGAGCCUCUCCUAGGUGCUGGCAGGGCCCUGGCCUUUACUUAUUCCCUCUGAUGCCAGCCAGCUACUGCAGCCCUGGUGGCGUCUCCCUGGGGGUGCCCGGGUGCAGGUGUCCGCUGCCGGGCCGUGGGUGUCUCAUUCUGUGUCCGGACCUCUCUGUGAUGUGAACCUUGGGCUUUUUUUUUUUUUUUUUUUUUUUUUCAGAUGUUAAGGGAGUCCACCACAUGUUUCCAUGUUUUACUGUUCCUGGAACUGAAUUUGUUUGUGAUGUGAGUCAGAAAUCCUGUCACAUUUUUCCACGUGGAUAUCCAGGGCCCCCGCCGUUUGUGGGAAGGCCGCACCUUCUGCCCGCUCUGCUGUCCAUCCGCGUGCCCAUCUCCAUGGGUUUCUCUCUGCACGGCUUGUUCUGUCCUGCAUGUCCAUCCUUGAGAUCGUUUUUCUCUGGCUUAAUGAUUACAGCUGUACGGUGAGUCUACAGUUAUUCCAAGUUUAUUUAGACAAGAUUUUCUUAACCUUGUAAAUUAUUCUAGGGUUUUUUAUAUUAUUAUUAAACCCAUAGGACUCUUUGGUGAAAACUGACAUAGUUAAAAUGGUUGAGUCUUUCAGUUCAAUUAGGUCUUUCUUUUCUGUAAUAUUUUCUGGACUUCUCCAUUCAAGUCUCAUGCAUUUUUUUGUUAGGAGUGUUGCUAAGAUUUAACUUUUCUAACCCACUGUAAAAGUGUUACCAGGGGGUCCUUGCUCCCAGAACUCCUAAGAUGGUGGCAGGUCGCUUCCAAAAUGGCGGCGGCCCACUUCCAAGAUGGUGGCAAGCCUACUGUUCUCUGACCUGGGGUUCUUGGCCUCACGGAUUCCAAGGAAUGGAAUCUUGGGCCAUCCGGUGAGUGUUACAGCUCUAUUAGAAGCCGUGGGUCACGGAAGAGAACCAUGGAACCCAGUGACUAGUGUUCAGCUCAAUUAGGACGAACUGAGGCACUUAGCCAUGCAGAAACAAUGGCAAGACCUUAGCCUGAUCCAUCGGGAGUGGCAAUGGGCGCCUCGCUGGAUCAGGAGCACAGCGGACACCCUGCCGGCUCUGGAGAGAUGGAAGUCAGCGGCGGGUCUACGACGGCAGCAAACAGCAGUGGUGGAGGGCGAGCGAAAGCUCAGCUCCAGCCGUAACAAACACGGACCAGAAGAGUGCAGUUGCAAGAUUUAAUAGAGUGAAAUAGAGUGAAAACAGAGCUCCCAUACAAAGGAAGGGGACCCAAAGAGGGUAGCCAUUGCCAGCUCCAAUGCCUGGGUUUAUAUCCCAAUCACUGUCCCUCCCGCUGUGCUCUCAGGCAGUAGAUGAUUGGCUAUUUCUUUACCUCCUGUUUUUGCCUUAUUAGCAUUUUAGUGAGCUCUGUGAUUGGUCAGGUGUGAGCUAAGUUGCAAGCCUGGUGUUUAAAGGUGGAUGUGGUCACCUUCUCAGCUAGGCUUAGGGAUUCUUAGCCUAGGAAAUCCAGCUAGUCCUGUCUCUCAAAAGUAUCUUUUACAUUUUAUUUUCUAAUUGUUUAUUGCUUGUAUGUUAAAAUAAAGUGAAUAUUUAUGUUGAUUUUUAUUCAGCAUCUUGUUAAAAUUCAGUUGACUUUACAAAUUCAUUUUCAUACUUUAUUGUAUACUUUAUAUAUACAAUCAUGUGAUCUGUGUAUAAAGGUGGGUUUUUAUAUUUCUCUCCAAUUCUUACACAUUUUCUGUUGUUCCAGUUUCAUUUUCAUGGCUGGGAUCUGCAGGACGAGCUUACAUAUAGGUAAUGAUAAUGGACUUCCUUGCUUCAUUUUCCAUCUCAGGAUGGACAGUGUUCAACCUUCUAUGACUAAUUACAGCCAUGCUGUAGGCUUUUCAUAGAUACCCUUUUUUUUUGACUCAGGAAUUACAUUCUCUUCUUAUUCCUGGUUUGCUAAACCUUUUGUAUUAAUGGUGUCAACUAUGAAUAUAUAUUGCAUUUCAUCAAAUACUUUUUUUCUGCAUCAAUCAAUACGAUUUAUCUUUCUUCUGUUAAUAUGGUGAUUUACAUUAAUUUGUCUUAGAAUGUUCAUUUCUUUCAGGUCCUUGCUGAUUUUUUUGCCUGCCUUUUCCAUUAGUUCCUGAGACAAGCAUUUUAAAACCAAACAACAUAACUGAGGAGCUGUCUGUCACCCUUCGUGAUUCUGAAAACACGUGCUGCAUGUGUUUUGAGGUUGUUAUUUGGAGCAUGUGCAUUUACAAUUGUCUUACUGCCUUUGCAGUUUGAGUUUUUAUUAAAUGUUUCUCUUCAUCUCUGGUCAUGCUUUAUGCCGUAGAGUCUGUUAUUAGCAGAGCUACUCCAGGUUUAUUUUUCAUGAUAUUAUUUUCACUUCUUUUUACUUUCCAACUUUUAUAUCAUUAUGUUGAAGGUAUCUCUUUUGUUAAUCACAUAGUUGCAUUGUGUUUUCUUUUUUCAAAUAUGUAUGAGCAGCAUAAAAUUGGAUGUUCCUUUGAAACAACAGCAGUCAGAAGUCCAUGAGGAGGUGUCUUCUGACUGCGAGGAUAAGGGUGGAUCACCUUAAUGCAAUCAGGGAAUGAUGUGUUAGAAGCAUCUAUAGUUCCUGCUUCCCCUAAUUUCUAGCUGUAGCCAUUUGAAGAUUCUAAGCAAGUCCUCAACUGUUCAGCAGAGCCUCUGGUCCAGCAUGAGACCAAAACCCAGGAGCUGGUCUCGCCCUUGGCCCUCCUAACUCUCCAGCGUGUCCAGCCUGACUGGGAGAAACGUCCUGUUCAGGUGUUUGGUUGUCUAAGUGCUUCCCGCGGGGACGCCGGGCCUGAGCCUCUGUGAGAAGGGGAGAUCCCUGUGCAGUGUGGACCAACUUCUUUCCCUUUUCCAGGCUCCCAGUUUCUCCGCCUGUGCUGAGACCUUGUUUCCCAGGACCUCGGUGGACUUGGCUUUCAUGACUGGUGCCUCACCCCAGCACAUGUGCCUAAAAUAACAGAAAAAUACAGUGCCUGCAUGUUGGGAGCAAGCCCCCCAAAGUCUGGCCCCAAAACUGGCCAUAAAUAAAAUCUCUGCAGCAAUGUAACAUGUCCAUAAUGGCCAUAAAGCCCAAGCUGGAAGGUUGUGGGUUUACAGGAAUGACGGUAAGGAACACCUGGCCCGCUCAGGGCGGAAAACUGGUUAAAGGCAUUUUUAAGCCAUAAACAAUUAGCCUGAGCGAUCUGUGCCUUAAGGGCGUGUUCCUGCUGCAAUUAAUUCAGCCCAUCCCUUCGUUUCCCUUAAGGGAUACUUUCAGUUAAUUUAAUAUCCAUAGAAACAAUGCUAAUGACUGGUUUGCUGUUAAUAAAUAUGUGGGUAAAUCUCUGUUCGGGGCUCUCAGCUCUGAAGGCUGUGAGACCCCUGAUAUCCCACUUUACACCUCUGUAU
rnacentral:lncRNA from 10 species